AUUGAACGCUGGCGGCAGGCCUAACACAUGCAAGUCGAGCGAGCGGCGGAAGGGUGAGUAAUGCCUGGGAAUUGCCCAGUCGAGGGGGAUAAAAGUUGGAAACGACUGCUAAUACCGCAUACGCUUGGAUUGCCUAGGUGGGAUUAGCUAGUUGGUGAGGUAAUGGCUCCCCAAGGCGACGACCCCUAGCUGGUCUGAGAGGAGGAUCAGCAACACUGGAACGGAGACACGGUCCAGACUCCUACGGGAGGCAGCAGUGGGGAACAUUGCACAAUGGGGGAAACCCUGACGCAGCCAGGCCGCGUGUGUGAAGAAGGCCUUCGGGUUGUAAAGCAGUUUCAGCGAGGAGGCGUUACUCGCAGAAGAAGCACCGGCUAACUCCGUGCCAGCAGCCGCGGUAAUAC
rnacentral:rRNA from 1 species